rnacentral:rRNA from 1 species
AGAACGAACGCUGGCGGCGCGUCUUAAGCAUGCAAGUCGAACGGCAAGAGGUAGCAAUACCUCCUAGAGUGGCGGACUGGUGAGUAACACGUGGGUGACAUACCCUUCAGAUGGGGAUAGCUAUUAGAAAUAGUAGAUAAUACCGAAUACGAGCACAGGGGUUAGAGAUCUGUGAGGAAAGGAGCUAAGGCUCCGCUGAAGGAAUGGCCUGCGGCCCAUUAGCUAGUUGGUGAGGUAAGAGCCCACCAAGGCGAUGAUGGGUAUCCGGCCUUAGAGGGUGAACGGACACAUUGGGACUGAGAUACGGCCCAGACUCCUACGGGAGGCAGCAGCUAAGAAUAUUCCGCAAUGGACGAAAGUCUGACGGAGCGACGCCGCGUGGAUGAAGAAGGCCGGAAGGUUGUAAAAUCCUUUUGAAACUGAAGAAUAAGCGUUGUAGGGAAUGACAGCGUGGUGACAGUAGGUUUUGAAUAAGCAACGGCUAAUUACGUGCCAGCAGCGGC